GAACGAAGGCUUCGGCCUUAGUGGCGCACGGGUGCGUAACGCGUGGGAAUCUGCCCUCAGGUUCGGAAUAACAGCGAGAAAUUGCUGCUAAUACCGGAUGAUAUCGCGAGAUCAAAGAUUUAUCGCCUGAGGAUGAGCCCGCGUAGGAUUAGCUAGUUGGUGUGGUAAAGGCGCACCAAGGCGACGAUCCUUAGCUGGUCUGAGAGGAUGAUCAGCCACACUGGGACUGAGACACGGCCCAG
rnacentral:rRNA from 1 species